rnacentral:scRNA from 1 species
UCAAUAUUUUAGUUUUGCUGGUCAGGCGUUUC